UACGUAGGGUGCGAGCGUUGUCCGGAAUACUGGGCGUAAAGAGCUCGUAGGUGGUUUGUCGCGUUGUUCGUGAAAUCUCACGGCUUAACUGUGAGCGUGCGAGCGAUACGGGCAGACUGGAGUACUGCAGGGGAGACUGGAAUUCCUGGUGUAGCGGUGGAAUGCGCAGAUAUCAGGAGGAACACCGGUGGCGAAGGCGGGUCUCUGGGCCGAUACUGACGCUGAGGAGCGAAAGCGUGGGGAGCGAACAGG
rnacentral:rRNA from 1 species